AAUGCGUAGAUAUCCGCAGGAACAUCCGAGGCGAAAGCGGCUCGCUGGAUCACAACUGACGCUGAGGGACGAAAGCUAGGGGAGCAAACAGGAUUAGAUACCCUGGUAGUCCACGCCCUAAACGAUGGCAACUAGGUGUUGGGGAAGCGAUUUCCUGGUACCGCAGCUAACGCGUGAAGUUGCCCGCCUGGGGAGUACGGUCGCAAGAUUAAAACUCAAAGGAAUUGACGGGGACCCGCACAAGCGGUGGAUGAUGUGGAUUAAUUCGAUGCAACGCGAAUAACCUUACCUACCCUUGACAUGUACGGAACCCUGCAGAGAUGUGGGGGUGCUUGAAAGAGAGCCGUAACACAGGUGCUGCAUGGCUGUCGUCAGCUCGUGUCGUGAGAUGUUGGGUUAAGUCCCGCAACGAGCGCAACCCUUGUCCCUAGUUGCUACGCAAGGGCACUCUAGGGAGACUGCCGGUGACAAACCGGAGGAAGGUGGGGAUGACGUCAAGUCCUCAUGGCCCUUAUGGGUAGGGCUUCACACGUCAUACAAUGGCCGGUACAGAGGGUUGCCAAAGCGCGAGCUGGAGCCAAUCCCCAUAAAAGCCGGUCGUAGUCCGGAUUGCAGUCCGCAACUCGACUGCAUGAAGUCGGAAUCGCUAGUAAUCGCGGAUCAGCAUGUCGCGGUGAAUACGUUCCCGGGUCUUGUACACACCGCCCGUCACACCAUGGGAGCGGGAUGUACCAGAGGUAGGUAGGCUAACCGCAAGGGGGCCGCUUACCACG
rnacentral:rRNA from 1 species